CACCAGCCCCUCGAGUGGUGGGGAUGAUUAUUUGGCCUAAAGCGUCCGUAGCCGGCCGGGUAAGUCUCCCGUUAAAUCCACCGAUUCAAUCGGUGGAUUGCGGGGGAUACUGUUUGGCUAGGGGACGGGAGAGGCCGACGGUAUUUCCGGGGUAGGGGUGAAAUCCUAUAAUCCCGGGAAGACCACCAGUGGCGAAGGCUGUCGGCUAGAACGCGCCCGACGGCGAGGGAUGAAAGCUGGGGGAGCGAACCGGAUUAGAUACCCGGGUAGUCCCAGCUGUAAACGAUGCAGGCUAGGUGUUUGGGCGGCCACGAGCCGCUCUAGUACCGCAGGGAAGCUGUUAAGCCUGCCGCCUGGGGAGUACGGCCGCAAGGCUGAAACUUAAAGGAAUUGGCGGGGGAGCACCACAAGGGGUGAAGCUUGCGGUUU
rnacentral:rRNA from 1 species